AGGGCACCACCAGGAGUGGAGCCUGCGGCUUAAUUUGACUCAACACGGGAAAACUCACCCGGCCCGGACACUGGAAGGAUUGACAGAUUGAGAGCUCUUUCUUGAUUCAGUGGGUGGUGGUGCAUGGCCGUUCUUAGUUGGUGGAGUGAUUUGUCUGGUUAAUUCCGAUAACGAACGAGACUCUAGCCUACUAAAUAGAUCGUCGGCUUACAAACGCCGGCGAGACUUCUUAGAGGGACAGGCGGUGAUUCAACCGCACGAAACAGAGCAAUAACAGGUCUGUGAUGCCCUUAGAUGUCCGGGGCCGCACGCGCGCUACACUGAAGUGAUCAGCGUGCUUUUUCAACCUACUCUGUCAAGAGUGGGGAACCCAAUGAACCUUCUUCGUGAUUGGGGUAGGGGAUUGUAAUUGUUCCCCUUGAACGAGGAAUUCCCAGUAAGCGCGAGUCAUAAGCUCGCGUUGAUUACGUCCCUGCCCUUUGUACACACCGCCCGUCGCUACUACCGAUUGAAUGUUUU
rnacentral:rRNA from 1 species